rnacentral:rRNA from 1 species
UACGUAGGUGGCAAGCGUUGUCCGGAACUACUGGGUGUAAAGGGCGUGUAGGCGGGGAAGCAAGUCAGAUGUGAAAUCCCGGGGCUCAACUCCGGAGUUGCAUCUGAAACUGUUUUUCUUGAGUGCUGGAGAGGAAAGCGGAAUUCCUAGUGUAGCGGUGAAAUGCGUAGAUAUUAGGAGGAACACCAGUGGCGAAGGCGGCUUUCUGGACAGUAACUGACGCUGAGGCGCGAAAGCGUGGGGAGCAAACAGGGUUAGAUACCCUGGUAGUCCCU